UUAAAUUGAAGAGUUUGAUCAUGGCUCAGAUUGAACGCUGGCGGCAGGCCUAACACAUGCAAGUCGAACGGUAACAGAAAGCAGCUUGCUGCUUUGCUGAC
rnacentral:rRNA from 1 species